CAGUCGCCGCGGGAAUACGGAGGGUGCAAGCGUUAAUCGGAAUUACUGGGCGUAAAGCGCACGCAGGCGGUCUGUUAAGUCAGAUGUGAAAUCCCCGGGCUUAACCUGGGAACUGCAUUUGAAACUGGCAGGCUAGAGUCUUGUAGAGGGGGGUAGAAUUCCAGGUGUAGCGGUGAAAUGCGUAGAGAUCUGGAGGAAUACCGGUGGCGAAGGCGGCCCCCUGGACAAAGACUGACGCUCAGGUGCGAAAGCGUGGGGAGCAAACAGGAUUAGAUACCCCAGUAGUCCCUGUCUCUUAUAA
rnacentral:rRNA from 1 species